rnacentral:rRNA from 1 species
UACGUAGGGGGCAAGCGUUGUCCGGAAUCAUUGGGCGUAAAGCGCGCGUAGGCGGCCCUGUAAGUCCGUUGUGAAAGUCAAAGGCUCAACCUUUGAAAGCCGAUGGAUACUGCAGGGCUAGAGUCCGGAAGAGGCGAGUGGAAUUCCUGGUGUAGCGGUGGAAUGCGCAGAUAUCGGGAGGAACACCGGUGGCGAAGGCGGUUCUCUGGGCCUUACCUGACGCUGAGGAGCGAAAGCGUGGGGAGCGAACAGG